CAGCAGCCGCGGGAAUACGUAGGGUGCGAGCGUUAAUCGGAAUUACUGGGCGUAAAGCGUGCGCAGGCGGUUGUGUAAGACAGGUGUGAAAUCCCCGGGCUUAACCUGGGAACUGCGCUUGUGACUGCACAGCUAGAGUAUGGCAGAGGAGGGUGGAAUUCCACGUGUAGCAGUGAAAUGCGUAGAGAUGUGGAGGAACACCGAUGGCGAAGGCAGCCCCCUGGGCCAAUACUGACGCUCAUGCACGAAAGCGUGGGGAGCAAACAGGAUUAGAUACCCCCGUAGUCCCUGUCUCUUAUAC
rnacentral:rRNA from 1 species